AUCAGUGUUGGCCCAAUCUGGCUCAUGCUUCACCAAGAGUGCCUUUCAGUAAAAGGUAUAUGCAGUGACCUUGACACACAUAUCUAGUGAAGUUCAUGGUGGACAUCUUUGUCAAAUCCUUGUUCAAACAUUGUCUCUUUCCUUUGAUUACCUGCCUUAUAUGUCACCUAUUGAGUGCUUGUUGUAUAUAAUGAAUUGCAACAAUCUUGAAGUAAAUUAAGUCUGGGGUCAAAGCAAUGAUAAGGGAUGCUUAAAGAUGAUCACUAUAACAAAGAUUUAUUUCUUCAGUCACAUUUCUCUGCUAUCAAUCAUGCUUACCAGUAAAGAUAUUUUUGUUGUUUUAAAUACUGGUUAUGUCAACAUUUUAAUGGCAAUCUUGAGAAUAACCUUGUUACGUGUAAUAUAAUAUAUAAAAAGGUUCAUUAUUUCAAGAAUAAAUAAUACACCAGUAAGUACAAUGUAUAAUAUAAAUUAUCAAGACAAUGCCUGUCUAAUCCCAUGCACCUUGGAUAUUUAAACAAUCUCAAAUCUCAUAUAAGAGAAUUUUAUAUUUGAAAGUGUGCAUCAAUACAUGUAUGAUAUAGAACUGCAUUCUCUGAUCAUGAACAAACAUACAUUUAUACUUUUCUUCUUAUUUUCAUUUCUUUGUUUAUUUUCUUUACGUGAUCUCAAACAAUCACCAAGUGUGCCAGCGCUAUUGUGUAUUAAACAUUAUUUGGAAUGGGCUAGAUCACUAUGUAUUUUUGUCAUUAUCUGAAGAGAUUUAAAAUGUUCUCC
rnacentral:sRNA from 1 species